UACGUAGGUGGCAAGCGUUAUCCGGAAUACUGGGCGUAAAGCGCACGCAGGCGGCCUAACAAGACUGACGUGAAAUUUCCCGGCUUAACUGGGAAGGGUCGUUGGUGACUUUUAGGCUUGAGGUAAUGAGAGGGGUGCAGAAUUCCUGGUGUAGUGGUGGAAUGCGUAGAUAUCAGGAGGAAUACCAGUGGCGAAAGCGGCACCCUGGCAUUAAGCUGACGCUCAUGUGCGAAAGCGUGGGGAGCGAACGGG
rnacentral:rRNA from 1 species